GGACUUCCCGUGUGGCUCACAACAUAACUACUCGGCGUUGCUUCUACAGUGGCUGUGGCUAGGGGUCGAAUUGGGGCUGUAGCCACCGGCCUACACCAGAGCCACAGCAACGCGGAUCUGAGCCACUUCUGCCACCUACACCACAGCUCACUGGCAAUGCCGGAUCCUUAACCCACUGAGCAAGGCCAGGGAUCGAAUCCGCAACCUCAUGGUUCCUAGUCGGA
rnacentral:lncRNA from 1 species